rnacentral:rRNA from 1 species
AGAGUUUGAUCCUGGCUCAGAUUGAACGCUGGCGGCGUGCUUUACACAUGCAAGUCGAACGGUAACAGGCCGCAAGGUGCUGACSAGUGGCGAACGGGUGAGUAAUGCAUCGGAACGUGCCCAGUCGUGGGGGAUAACGCAGCGAAAGCUGUGCUAAUACCGCAUACGAUCUAUGGAUGAAAGCGGGGGACCGUAAGGCCUCGCGCGAUUGGAGCGGCCGAUGUCAGAUUAGCUAGUUGGUGGGGUAAAGGCCCACCAAGGCGACGAUCUGUAGCUGGUCUGAGAGGACGACCAGCCACACUGGGACUGAGACACGGCCCAGACUCCUACGGGAGGCAGCAGUGGGGAAUUUUGGACAAUGGGCGCAAGCCUGAUCCAGCAAUGCCGCGUGCAGGAAGAAGGCCUUCGGGUUGUAAACUGCUUUUGUACGGAACGAAACGGUCUGGGUUAAUACCUCGGGCUAAUGACGGUACCGUAAGAAUAAGCACCGGCUAACUACGUGCCAGCAGCCGCGGUAA